rnacentral:pre_miRNA from 2 species
GUCCCUCUCCAAAUGUGUCUUGGGGUGGGGGAUCAAGACACAUUUGGAGAGGGAACC